rnacentral:misc_RNA from 1 species
GAAAUGCGAUAAGUAAUGUGAAUUGCAGAAUUCAGUGAAUCAUCGAAUCUUUGAACGCACAUUGCGCCCUCUGGCAUUCCGGGGGGGAUGCCUGUCCGAGCGUCAUUACGCACCCUCAAGCCCGGCUUGUGUGAUGGGCCCCGGCGUCUCGUUCGCGAGACGGGCCCGAAAGGCAGCGGCGGCGUCGACCCGAUGAGCCCGAGCGUAUGGGGACUUCUGUCACACGUUCGCGGUGCGGACCGGCGCCUGCUUGACUUUUCUGAUUAUCCAGGUUGACCUCGGAUCAGGUAGGGAUACCCGCUGAACUUAAGC